rnacentral:tRNA from 1 species
GGGCCCGUAGUUCAGUUGGACAGAAUACAGGAUUGCGGAUCCUGUGACCCGGGUUCAAACCCCGGCGGGCUCA